rnacentral:tRNA from 1 species
GAUGGCAUAGUUAAACAAUAACAUUAAAUUGCAAAUUUGAUAUUAUACUAAUAGUAUUACCAUCU